CAGUCGCCGCGGUAAUACGUAGGGUGCAAGCGUUAAUCGGAAUUACUGGGCGUAAAGCGUGCGCAGGCGGUUAUAUAAGACAGAUGUGAAAUCCCCGGGCUCAACCUGGGAACUGCAUUUGUGAAUGUAUAGCUAGAGUACGGCAGAGGGGGAUGGAAUUCCGCGUGUAGCAGUGAAAUGCGUAGAUAUGCGGAGGAACACCGAUGGCGAAGGCAAUCCCCUGGGCCUGUACUGACGCUCAUGCACGAAAGCGUGGGGAGCAAACAGGAUUAGAUACCAGGGUAGUCCCUGUCUCUUAUAC
rnacentral:rRNA from 1 species